ACUGUGUGUGAGAGAUAAUGGUACAACUGUAGCAUUACAACUAGUAAAGAAUGUGUACCAAUGUUGCUGAUUCUAUAGACUUAAACAAGUAAACAAGUAUUGAUAGUAAAUGCACUAUUCAUUAUGCAUUAUGAUUACAAAACUUAUAGGGUGUCUAAUUUUAACUUUAAAUAACCCAAUAGUAUACUAUGACAUUUACAAAUUUACGAAUACUAUAAUUGUACUUCAAGGUGUGAGUCUUUGUCUAAGGAUUCUGAAUUUGUUGAUUCAGUAACUCUGGAAUUAUGACUGACCGACAAGUGUUGUUGAGAAAGAUGCUUUCUUUCCCUCUAACCAAGUGGCUUAAGGCGCUAGAGGGCUACCCUGGAGAAUUAAAUGUUGCAAGUUCAAAUUUUGUUUGAUCUUACUACUUUUCAGGACCAAUGAGUGAAAAGGUUUGUUUAAGACAUUUUCAUUGUGACUGGCUUGGUGGCUCAAUGGGUUAGGUAUCUGAAAAGAAAAGAUCCACAUAGACGGCGUCCUGACGUCAGAGGUCGGCCUUCACGACCUGCGUCAGAGGAUGUCCAUCAUUCCCCAGGUAGAGAUGACGCGUGGGUUUUGAAUGUUUUCAACAUGCUUGAGCAAUGUUAUUAUUGAAGUGACUCCGUGUAAUCAGCUGUUUUACUGUGGUGUGACUGUACCCGUGUCUGUAUUUAUUUAUGUGUGGACUCCUACAUGUAUUUCACAGCUGUAAUGAAAUUGUCGCCAAAAGAAAAGCGUGAUAGAAAGUUGAUUGAACUCCCCAAAGUGAUCUAGAAUUGUAAGACUGCAAGGGAAGCUCAGCUUCCCCUAAAAUGUCAACAAAAUAAGUGGUCAAAUAUGUUCUGUUGUGUGAACAUUUCAUUGACUAAAUAUGAAUCAGCUACUUAUCACAGGUAACCGCCACGACUUCUUCUCAUUCAUCCCCGCAGCGCCACAGAGCUUUACACAGUGUAGACGCCGAGCGUCUCCUGACUUCAAUGGGGAAGCAGAGAGUGGGUUGUUCCACUGCAGCCAAACUAGACGGUCAUUGGAUAAAUGCUGGGCUUUGUCCCGCCCAUCGGACGCUCAGCGUCUCUGGGGGUCUAUGGGGCAGUGGGCUGGCCCGGACGCUCGGCUUCUGCAUGAUGAUUGGAUGAUCUGUCUGAGGCUGAGUCCCUUUUUGAUUGACAGCGAAAUGAGCGAAUCAGCGAUCUUGAAGUAUAAGCAUCCACCGGAGCAUUUGUCAAGUCUUUCAUUCCGUUGUUCGGAGUUGAUCUGGAGACGUUACUGAUCCUCAGCGACUUUGUCUUUGUUAAAAACGACUAGCGUUUUGUUUGGCGUCACUCUGCGAAUUUACAUAUAAAUAAACGGACACGUUUUAUGAUAUAGGCCGAAAAUGAGCUGCGUCAGUCUUGAGCUACUAGGCCAGAGACAAUGAAAUUAUCUUUUCAAAGUUUUUCAGUCUAUCCUCUCAUUGUUGGCCAUAUGAUUCAUAUGAUUGGCUGAGAUUUCAACAUACAAUCUGUGCAACUGCUGUUUUGGGCAGCAGCCAAACACCCCUCUGUUCUCUACCCCGCUUAGUACAAUCCGGGAUCCCCCUUGUAUAAAUCCAAUUGGAUUCAUCCAAUUGGAUUCAUCCACUUCCUGUUUGACAGUUUGACCUUUCACCUCGGCUCGGAGGCAGCACGGACGGGACCACAUGCUACAAACAUUCCGAUGUCCCGCCACCAGGAGACCAGGACCGGCACCGGCCGGCACACCGCUCCAACUCCAGCUCUUCACCCCUUGCGCUCACAUGUCCAUCACACCGGAAGCUGGCGGCCACCCAUCACAAAAGAAGGAUCACGGCGCAGUCGACAGGCCUCAGCUCUGACCGCCGCCUGGAACACACAUCACCUGGAACCCUCCACCUCCUCUUUGGCGCUCCGCCCUCCCACGUCCAACUGACCGGACCGGACGCCGCGGGACACACAUCUGCUGGCCUCUGUUUGUUUCAGCAGCUGGAAACAAAGUGAGUGUGUUCAUCCUGCUUGAAACGAGCGCUGGUGCCGUCACAUCAGUGUGGAGGCUGAUCGUUUUUUGUCUGGUUUAGGCCGACGCUCAAGGGAGUGAAGUUCUACAAACACAAACUGCGGCGUUUGGAAGGAUUAAACAAACACACUAACACGAGAUGGUCUAAAGAAGACAACACGACAGAGCAGUGAACACACCAGCGAUCAAGCCGGAGAAGCCGGUCUCUGUGACCACUAUCACUAUCUAUUGACAGAGGUCAGCGUCGUCGUGACCAAUCCGAGCGCUCCGUUACGGCUGCACGGACGGAAAGCCGCCGCCUUUGGUUCGGAUCAGGCUGACUUUGAUAGUCUGCUCCCCGCUCUGGAGGUCUGGGCGCAGCAGCUCCAGCUGCUGGAGAUGUCCCGCCACCAGGAGACCAGGACCGGCACGCCGCUCCAACUCCGGCUCUUCACUCCUCUUCGCGGCGGCCACCCAUCACAAAAGAAGGAUCACGGCGCAGUCGGCAGGCCUCAGCUCUGACCGCCGCCUGGAACACACAUCACCUGGAACCCUCCACCUCCUCUUUGGCGCUCCGCCCUCCCACGUCCAACUGACCGGACCGGACGCCGCGGGACACACAUCUGCUGGUGACUAUUGCUUAUAUACAUAUCACCACAUUGAUUAGAUCUUGUGUUUAACUGAGUUCCCCUCUUAAGAUACACACCCAAUUAAAACUCAUCCUUCACAACAGGCCUCUGUUUGUUUCAGCAGCUGGAAACAAAGUGAGUAUUUUUUGGUUGGUUUUAAAAAAUGUUGUGGUUUUUGGUAUUUUUGUAAGGAAGUAAGUAAGUCUUUAAAUAAAUACUUUAAAUAAAUGAUGGCCACCUUCCAGUCUCUUUACUACAGCGUGGGUGAAUGUGGCACAUCUCAGGCUGGAGUUGGAGUGAUCCGCUGCACUCCGCUGGUCCUCCUCAUGCCAUUGCAACAAACUAUUGCGCAAGCAAAGAUGCACACUGUUUUCUGCAAAGCCUUUACUGUCAGAAAAUAUAAUAUGUUUUGUCAAUGUCAUUUAUACAAGUCUGUCUUCUGUCCAGGCUCCUGAAUGAACAGAGAAAAGGGCCUGGAGAAGACCUCAAGUGCGCACAAACACAAUUGUGGUUUAAAGUUUUCUACCUAAAGCGCCACAGGCCGUCUUCCCCUCUUUGUUUGGAUUUUUCUUUGCCUUUUCCUACAUCUUAUAUCAAUGAUAUCACCAGUGAACAUGUUUCAAAGUCAACAGAGAAAUUCAAAUUAAAUUACUACUAUGAUUUCCUUUGACAUAACUUGGAAGUUAAUGGAAGAGCUACACAAAGACAUUAAAUGUUACUUAUUUUCACAGUUGUUUAGUGAUAUUUCAUUGAAUUGAACUUACCCAAUUGUUUGUAGCAUGUGCUCCCAUCCGUGCUCCCUCCAAGCCAAGGUGAAAGGUCAGACUUUCAAACAGGAGGUGGGAGAAUCCAAUUGGAUUUUUAGAAGGGGAAACUCGGAUCGUACUAACUCAUCCUUCACAACAGGCCUCUGUUCUUACAUAUAUUAACAUACAAUGCGGUUUCAAUACUGUUCUGAAUAGUCACAUGUCAUACAUUCACACAGCGCAUCGCCUCCCAUCCACCAAACGCUGCAGAUAAAAACAUGCUACCAAAAGUCGGCGCCGGAUUAAAAAUCUUAUUUCUGACAAGCACAAACCAAGUUAUGUGCUUUGUAGGCUUUUCAGUUGGUAUUUGUAUUUGAGAACAUGCUUUCUAAGUUGAAACUUUUGUGUUAGGUGAAUUGAGUCAUUAGUUGGAAAAUUAACAUUUAUUCUUUGUCUGGCAGAAAUGUGUGUGUUUUUCAUUUUGGAUUUGAUUCUUGAUUUCCUUAUGGGUUGAUUAUUUUGAGUUAUUUGAAAAUGAGCUGCUCUUUGUCCCUUCCUUUACUAUGCCGCCUUUAUACCUAAAUAUACUAUGACCUUUUUGGAUGUUUUUAUGCCUCACUAUAACAUUUUGUUUUUUCACCUUAAGACCUUACUAUACUAUUAGAUCUUUAUACCUUACUAUACUAUGACUUUUUCAUGUUUUUAUGCCUUAUUAUACUGUCGUUUUUUCACAUUUUUUGCAAAACCAUAGAAUGUCAUUUUUUCACUUUUAAGGCCUUACUAUACUAUGACGUCUCCAUACGUUACUAUACUAUAACUUUUUGGAUGUUUUUAUGUCUUAUUAAACUAUGUCGUUUCGCUCUCUAGAGUAGCCGUCUGACUCCUGAAGCCGCUCGGUCAGAGAUGAAGAGCACAUCUUUCUCAAACCUUUUCGGUCUUUCCUCUGUGUGUUGGUCCCAAAAAGUAGUAAGAUCAAACCAUAUUUUAACUCUCAACCUCUGAGUCUAUAGAGUAGCCUUCUAACCCCUGAAGCCACUCUGCCAGACAUAAAGAGCACCUCUAUCUCACUUUUUGGGACCGUCACACAGAAGACAGACUCUUUAUCUCUAACUGAGUCUCUAAGGGGUUAGAGGGCUACUCUACAGACUGAGAGAUUGAGAGUUCAAAUAUGGUUUGAUCUUACUUCUUUUCUGGGACCAACACUCUCUCUCUGACUCUCUCUCUCUCUCUCUCUCUCUCUCUCUCUCUCUCUCUCUCUCUCUCUCCCUCCCUCCCUCCCCCCCCCCCUCUCUCUCCUGGUAUAAGAGUGAAAGCCACAGGAUUAAAAAGUGAGCAUUUUGUGUAAGAAUAAAACAUGUGAAGAUAAAAGAAACCCUCUCACCGCUCUGAUCCGUAUCUGAACAAGAUACAGAAAAGGUUGCAGCCCAGAGAGGAAUAAGUGAAUAUUUGGAAUGUUAAGAAUCCUAUUGGAGUUAAUUACUCGCGAGAGAGCGGCCUUGAAAGUGACGUCACGUCAGGCACCAGGUGAGAGUCAGAGAAGUGUAGUCGUGAGGAAUAAGGCAGCGAAUUACUGGAGAAAAGGUGGACUUAUUAGCCAACUCAGUGACGCAUUUGCAACAAUAAAAAGUAAAAAAAGAAAAGAAAUUUGAAGGCGUGGCGGCUAUGAUUUAGCAGUGGCGGGAAUGUAGAGGAAACACUGCUUGUAAGCGGCGUUUGAUCUUAAAUCUUAAGUCAUUUCAGUCUUUGCUCUCAGUGUCCGCCCUCAACCCUCCACCCCUGAUUAUAUGUAAUUAGAACAUGUACAUACAUUGAAGGCAGGUGAAUGUCAUCUCAUUGUCAGCCCUCAAAGUUCAUGCGAUUGGCUGAUUUCAACAUACAACCUGUACAACCGCUGUUUUGGCCAGCAGCCAAACACCCCUCUGUUCUCUCCCCCGCUUGGUACAAUCCGGGUUCCCCUUGUAUAAAUCAAAUUGGAUCCGUCCACCUCCUGUUUGACAGUCUGACCUUUCACCUCGGCUUGGACGGAGCUCGGAUGGGAGCACAUGCUACAAACAUUUGGGCGGAGACGUCUGUUUCUCAAUAUCACACUCAACUGCGUGAAGACCGUGACUGUCUGCAGAGCGGCCUUUGUUUGGGGGAAUAAUGUGUACAUAAAGACGAGCCCCGGGUCCGCACGACAGCAGGUCACGUUCAGAGGACAACUGGCUUUUAAAUGGGAUCCCAGACUGGGUCUAUGAGGCAUAAGGAACUGAACUAAAUCAG